AAGAUUAUAAAAUAACAAGAUUAGCUUACAAUAAUCAUGAUAGCCAAAAUCUUAACCUAUGAUUUCUUAAACUAUGAUUAAAACACAUAUAAGCCUUAACUAUGAUUAAAACACAUAUUACACAAAUAGAUCUAUGAAAGCUAUAAAUCUAUAUUCUACUAAUCAUUAAUCACUGAAUCAAGAGUUAGUCACUAAAACCACACGUACACACAGUUAUUAUUUGAUUCAUAAAAUCAGCAAUGACAUUUGAAUGGCUCAACCGAGAAAGCACGCUUCCUCGUCUUACUGGUAAACAUCUUGAGGUUACAGAGGCUAGCAGACUAAAAGAGUUCCUCUUUUACUCCUGGGCUCUAGAGGAGUUCCUCUUUUCCGCCUACGUUCUAGGAAAGGUCAGCAACAGGAGAGACGAUUAACACACCAGUAAAAAACAUACAUUUUCUAGCCUUACAGUUAAAGAUUGCGUCUAACAAAAUUAUACAUGCAGCUUCAAGCUAUGUUAAAAUAUACUAACUAAUUAAUCUUACUGUAGAAUGUAGCAAAAUUAUUAUCAAUAAAACAGAGUAUGAACUAAAGAGGAACUGUGCCUUGCUGACCUUAAGACAUGCCUUGUCACCUUGGCAAGGGAAGUAACGGACACCUACGUUUUCUCAGAAGUAAAGGUUAAGACAACUUUCAAGUUCCUCAGAAGUCUGGAAAAAUGAAGUAAACAAUAUGAUAUACCAUAUUUGGAAGCAUAGCAUAAAAAUUAGAAGCCACCUAGCAACAAGGUACGUCACAGAAGGGUAUACGUCACCCAAGGGUAUAAGGAUGGAGUCAGAAAGGCCGAGGUUCAGAAGAACUAGGAUGCAUGCCUGUAAUGUUCUUCCCAGAUCUGAAAUGUUCUUCCCAGAUCUGAAAUAAAUCAUACUUGUUCACUCUCAA